UGGUGCCCGCAGCCGCGGUAAUUCCAGCUCCCAUAGGGUAUAAAAAGGGGGCAGGAAAAAGCUUGUAGGGAAUUUCGGGGUUUAUCCGUUGGUCGGGCUUUUUGGUCGGUACUGGCGUGAUGGAUUCCUACCUUGAAAUAACCGGCAUGC
rnacentral:rRNA from 1 species